rnacentral:rRNA from 1 species
GACGAACGCUGGCGGCGUGCCUAAUACAUGCAAGUAGGACGCUGAAGGAGGAGCUUGCUUCUCUGGAUGAGUUGCGAACGGGUGAGUAACGCGUAGGGAACCUGCCUGGUAGCGGGGGGUAACUAUUGGAAACGAUAGCUAAUACCGCAUAAUAGUAGAUGUUGCAUGACAUUUGCUUAAAAGGUGCAAUUGCCUCACUACCAGAUGGAACUGCGUUGUAUUAGCUAGUUGGUGGGGUAACGGCUCACCAAGGCGACGAUACAUAGCCGACCUGAGAGGGUGAUCGGCCACACUGGGACUGAGACACGGCCCAGACUCCUACGGGAGGCAGCAGUAGGGAAUCUUCGGCAAUGGACGGAAGUCUGACCGAGCAACGCCGCGUGAGUGAAGAAGGUUUUCGGAUCGUAAAGCUCUGUUGUAAGAGAAGAACGAGUGUGAGAGUGGAAAGUUCACACUGUGACGGUAUCUUACCAGAAAGGGACGGCUAACUACGUG